AGAGUUUGAUCCUGGCUCAGGAUGAACGCUAGCUACAGGCUUAACACAUGCAAGUCGAGGGGCAGCAUGGUCUUAGCUUGCUAAGGCCGAUGGCGACCGGCGCACGGGUGAGUAACACGUAUCCAACCUGCCGUCUACUCUUGGACAGCCUUCUGAAAGGAAGAUUAAUACAAGAUGGCAUCAUGAGUCCGCAUGUUCACAUGAUUAAAGGUAUUCCGGUAGACGAUGGGGAUGCGUUCCAUUAGAUAGUAGGCGGGGUAACGGCCCACCUAGUCUUCGAUGGAUAGGGGUUCUGAGAGGAAGGUCCCCCACAUUGGAACUGAGACACGGUCCAAACUCCUACGGGAGGCAGCAGUGAGGAAUAUUGGUCAAUGGGCGAGAGCCUGAACCAGCCAAGUAGCGUGAAGGAUGACUGCCCUAUGGGUUGUAAACUUCUUUUAUAAAGGAAUAAAGUCGGGUAUGGAUACCCGUUUGCAUGUACUUUAUGAAUAAGGAUCGGCUAACUCCGUGCCAGCAGCCGCGGUAAUACGGAGGAUCCGAGCGUUAUCCGGAUUUAUUGGGUUUAAAGGGAGCGUAGAUGGAUGUUUAAGUCAGUUGUGAAAGUUUGCGGCUCAACCGUAAAAUUGCAGUUGAUACUGGAUAUCUUGAGUGCAGUUGAGGCAGGCGGAAUUCGUGGUGUAGCGGUGAAAUGCUUAGAUAUCACGAAGAACUCCGAUUGCGAAGGCAGCCUGCUAAGCUGCAACUGACAUUGAGGCUCGAAAGUGUGGGUAUCAAACAGGAUUAGAUACCCUGGUAGUCCACACGGUAAACGAUGAAUACUCGCUGUUUGCGAUAUACAGCAAGCGGCCAAGCGAAAGCGUUAAGUAUUCCACCUGGGGAGUACGCCGGCAACGGUGAAACUCAAAGGAAUUGACGGGGGCCCGCACAAGCGGAGGAACAUGUGGUUUAAUUCGAUGAUACGCGAGGAACCUUACCCGGGCUUGAAUUGCAGAGGAAGGAUUUGGAGACAAUGACGCCCUUCGGGGCCUCUGUGAAGGUGCUGCAUGGUUGUCGUCAGCUCGUGCCGUGAGGUGUCGGCUUAAGUGCCAUAACGAGCGCAACCCUUGUUGUCAGUUACUAACAGGUUCCGCUGAGGACUCUGACAAGACUGCCAUCGUAAGAUGUGAGGAAGGUGGGGAUGACGUCAAAUCAGCACGGCCCUUACGUCCGGGGCUACACACGUGUUACAAUGGGGGGUACAGAGGGCCGCUACCACGCGAGUGGAUGCCAAUCCCAAAAACCUCUCUCAGUUCGGACUGGAGUCUGCAACCCGACUCCACGAAGCUGGAUUCGCUAGUAAUCGCGCAUCAGCCACGGCGCGGUGAAUACGUUCCCGGGCCUUGUACACACCGCCCGUCAAGCCAUGGGAGCCGGGGGUACCUGAAGUGCGUAACCGCGAGGAGCGCCCUAGGGUAAAACUGGUGACUGGGGCUAAGUCGUAACAAGGUAGCCGUACCGGAAGGUGCGGCUG
rnacentral:rRNA from 1 species